rnacentral:rRNA from 1 species
GAUGCAGCAACGCCGCGUGAGGGAUGAAGGCCUUCGGGUCGUAAAACUCUGUCCUCAAGGAAGAUAAUGACGGUACUUGAGGAGGAAGCCCCGGCUAACUACGUGCCAGCAGCCGCGGUAAUACGUAGGGGGCUAGCGUUAUCCGGAGUUACUGGGCGUAAAGGGUGCGUAGGCGGUCUUUCAAGUCAGGAGUGAAAGGCUACGGCUCAACCGUAGUAAGCUCUUGAAACUGGGAGACUUGAGUGCAGGAGAGGAGAGUGGAAUUCCUAGUGUAGCGGUGAAAUGCGUAGAUA